rnacentral:rRNA from 1 species
CCUACGGGAGGCUGCAGUGGGGAAUAUUGCACAAUGGGCGAAACCCUGAUGCAGCUAUGCCGCGUGAGUGAAGAAGGAAUUCGUUACGUAAAGCUCUAUCAGCAGGGAAGAAAAUGACGGUACCUGAGUAAGAAGCCCCGGCUAACUACGUGCCAGCAGCCGCGGUAAUACGGAGGGGGCAAGCGUGAUCCGGAAGUACGGGGCGUAAAGGGAGCGGAGACGGUGCGGCAAGUCUGGAGUGAAAUGCCGCGGCUUAACUGCGGAACGGCUUUGGAGACUGGCGAACUAGAGUGCGGGAGGGGUGAGCGGAAUUCCUAGUGUAGCGGUGAAAUGCGUAGAUAUUAGGAGGAACACCGGUGGCGAAGGCGGCUUACUGGAACGUAACUGACGCUGAGGCUCGAAAGCGUGGGGAGCAAACAGGAUUAGAUACCCCAGUAGUC